rnacentral:rRNA from 1 species
CCAGACUCCUACGGGAGGCAGCAGUGAGGAAUAUUGGUCAAUGGGCGGGAGCCUGAACCAGCCAAGCCGCGUGAGGGAAGAAGGUACAGCGUAUCGUAAACCUCUUUUGUCAGGGAACAAAGGCGGGGACUAGUCCCCGGAUGAGGGUACCUGAAGAAAAAGCAUCGGCUAACUCCGUGCCAGCAGCCGCGGUAAUACGGAGGAUGCGAGCGUUAUCCGGAUUUAUUGGGUUUAAAGGGUGCGCAGGCGGUCUGUUAGGUCAGCGGUAAAGGCCGGGGCCCCACCCCCGGCGAGCCGUUGAAACUGGCGGGCUGGAGUUGGAGAGAAGUACGCGGAAUGCGCGGUGUAGCGGUGAAAUGCUUAGAUAUCGCGCAGAACCCCGAUUGCGAAGGCAGCGUACCGGCUCCACACUGACGCUGAGGCACGAAAGCGUGGGUAUCGAACAGGAUUAGAUACCCCCGUA